rnacentral:rRNA from 1 species
AGCGAACGCUGGCGGCAGGCUUAACACAUGCAAGUCGAACGGGCAUCUUCGGAUGUCAGUGGCAGACGGGUGAGUAACACGUGGUAACGUACCCUUCGGUUCGGAAUAACUCAGGGAAACUUGAGCUAAUACCGGAUACGCCCUUUUGGGGAAAGGUUUACUGCCGAAGGAUCGGCCCGCGUCUGAUUAGCUUGUUGGUGGGGUAACGGCCUACCAAGGCGACGAUCAGUAGCUGGUCUGAGAGGAUGAUCAGCCACACUGGGACUGAGACACGGCCCAGACUCCUACGGGAGGCAGCAGUGGGGAAUAUUGGACAAUGGGCGCAAGCCUGAUCCAGCCAUGCCGCGUGAGUGAUGAAGGCCUUAGGGUUGUAAAGCUCUUUUGUCCGGGACGAUAAUGACGGUACCGGAAGAAUAAGCCCCGGCUAACUUCGUG